GUCUGCGGCCAUGCCACCCUGAACAAGCCCGAUUCCGUCUGAUCUCGAAAGCUACGCAGGGUCAGGCCUGUUUAGUACUUGGAGGGGAGACCACCUAGGAAGACCAGGUGCUGUAGGCG
rnacentral:rRNA from 1 species